GGUAUUAAUUGUUCUCUCAUGUGGUAUUCUCACAUCCCUACAAUAGGGAUUGUAGACUUUUUUUUUUCACACAAUCAAGAGCAGAUUUUCCACCUGAGGUUGCACACUUGAGCUUAUGAAUAGUGCAAUGAUACCGUUCAUUGGAUCUCAUUCCAUACUUGGGAGGGCAGUUUUUGUGAAUGCUAAUCCUGAUGAUUUGGAAGCAUGAAAGUCCAUUGGUUUAAAGCUACGUGUAUCUCUAUAAGAUCUAGCUAACUAUUGUGUUUUGCUUGGUGAGGUGUGCGUGUAAAAGAAGACUCCUCAAAACAAUUUGGAAACCAACUUUGGCAUAUCAACUCCUGAAUAAGCAGUGUUACAGCAAAUUUAUUUUGUAUAAGAGGCUUUCUCUCUUGGGGCUACAGUAAUAAAAUUAGAGAAAGUGUUGUGGUUUGAUUCUUGUUAAUAGGAAAAAAAUUUAGCUUUAGCUGGCUAAAAGUUUAAUGUAUCUUGUGAGAAAAGGUUUUGAAGCAUUCCAUGAUCAAUUGAAGCGCCGUAUAUCUUGAAGUCAGCCUAGGCUAAUUUUCAGUUUUAGUGAAACAUUGAAUGUAUUCUCUAAUUUUAACACAUAAAAGUUUCCUUAUUUAUUUAUACAACAAUCUUUCAAGAAUGUAGAAUUCAAACCAAGAGAAUGUACUAACAUGUUUUUAUCCUUU